rnacentral:rRNA from 1 species
CGUAGGGUGCAGGCGUUAAUCGGAAUUACUGGGCGUAAAGCGUGCGCAGGCGGUCUGCUAAGAGAGGUGUGAAAUCCCCGGGCUUAACCUGGGAACUGCGCUUCUAACUGGCAGGCUUGAGUGGGGCAGAGGGGGUGGAAUUCCACGUGUAGCAGUGAAAUGCGUAGAGAUGUGGAGGAACACCGAUGGCGAAGGCAGCCCCCUGGGCUAACACUGACGCUCAUGCACGAAAGCGUGGGGAGCAAACAGGAUUAGAUACCCUGGUAGUCCACGCCCUAAACUAUGUCAACUGGUUGUCGGGGAAGCAAUUCCUUGGUAACGAAGCUAACGCGUGAAGUUGACCGCCUGGGGAGUACGGCCGCAAGGUUA